rnacentral:ncRNA from 1 species
AGCGGAGAAUGCUUGAUUUUUCUUAAUACUUUGUCUGUACUCAGAGAGCGUUCGACACGAUGUCGAACGCAGUCGCCACUGAGCCAGGACGGCGAAUUGGCGACGGUCUCGUACGGCUCUAAAGAUAAUAUCAAAGUAUUUAGAAAAAUCAGCAUUC